CUGCCCUAUAAACCUUGCUGCAGCAGUUUAGGAAACGGCUGUGCGCCCAGCUGCCCCCUCUCCUGAAGGCUGCUGCAGCUGCAGCCAGGCGGCAGGAGGAAGCACGCGUCCUCUGCUCGGCCGUCCCAGCUUGUACGCACCAGGGAAGACGGUGGAGCACCCGGCCUGUCGUGUCAAUAAACAAUUAACACCAGGUAGAAAGGAGAACGGAUUAUUGAUUAAGGUAACAGAACUGAAAUUAUUUUUUGUUUCUGCCACCAAUAUAAUGUGACCCCAGUGAAG
rnacentral:lncRNA from 1 species